GGAUACAGAAUGUUUUGUUCACUAAAUAUCAAGUAGCAGGAAACCAGCUGCCUAUACCUAGAUAAGAGCCAGAGACAAAUAUGUGCUUGCCUAAUCCCUAUCUGUACUUGCUUAAUCAGCUUUUAGUUCCAGGACCUUGAGCAUAAUGACCAUAUAAGGAGGGGUCAACCAAAAGACACCGGAGGAUGACUACUAGCCUUCAUCCUGCGACCACCAGGAGGAAAAAAAGAGCCCCUAGCAACAAGUCACACAUGCGCAGAAUACCAUGAAAAAGACACGUUAACCGGAAAAGAGACUGUAUAAGAAGGAACUGGAACUGGCGGAAGGUGCGGCAGUUGGUGGAGCGGAGACUCCCCUCCCGCCCAGCGCUGUAAUUGCUUUUGCCUUGCUUGCUUGCUGUUAAUAAAUAAAAUUGUAAUUAGCAGAUUGAGUCCCGGAAUUUAUUACAAAUUGGUGCCGUGACUCGGAUGCAACUUGUACGGCGGGGUAACGGCUCUACCGGGGAGGCGCCCCGCCGAUCUGUCGGCGGCCCUGGUGGUCCCGAUCCCUACCUCGGUUGCACCGACGAACCUAAAUUCAAGGCAUUAGGCAAAGGAAGCCGGCAGACCCUGUAAAUUUUGUGCACAAAGGUCCGGACGAAGACGCAGGACGCCUUUUAGUUCCAGGACCUUGAGCAUAAUGACCAUAUAAGGAGGGGUCAACCAAAAGACACCGGAGGAUGACUACUAGCCUUCAUCCUGCGACCACCAGGAGGAAAAAAAAAGAGCCCCUAGCAACAAGUCACACAUGCGCAGAAUACCAUAGAAGAGACACUUCAACCGGAAAAGAGACUGUAUAAGAAGGAACUGGAACUGGCGGAAGGCACGGCAGUUGGUGGAGCGGAGACUCCCCUCCCGCCCAGCGCUGUAAUUGCCUUUGCCUUCCUUGCUUAUUAAUUAAUAAAAUUUUGUGAUUGGCAAAAUGGAGUUCCUGGAUUUGUCACAUAUUUAUCACAGAGAA